CGUAAAUCGUUGAUAGGAAUUAGUAGCAAGUGAGUGCUUUGUAUAGAGAGUCGGUGGCUGGUGUAAACCGAUCAAAGCCCGUUGUGAAUCCAUCCUAGAGUGAGAUGCUGAACUCAUAUGUAGGCAUGUCCGGCUACCAUUGUCCGUUAUCAAUGCUAGAGCGGCAGAUUUUUCUGCAACUAGGGUGGCAACGCGGGUAACUCUCGUCCCUUAU
rnacentral:ncRNA from 1 species